rnacentral:rRNA from 1 species
UGAGUACGAGCUGCUACGGCAGCGAAGUGGGUGAUGUCAAGCUUCCAAGAAAAGCCCUAUACCCGUUAAGGCAUGACGGCCUGUACCCAAAACCGACACAGGUGGGGUGGUAGAGAAUACCGAGGGGCGCGAGAUAACUCUCUCUAAGGAACUCGGCAAAAUGGCCCCGUAACUUCGGGAGAAGGGGUGCCACCGCAAGGUGGUCGCAGUGAAGAGGCCCAGGCGACUGUUUACCAAAAACACAGGUCUCCGCUAAGUCGCAAGACGAUGUAUGGGGGCUGACGCCUGCCCAGUGCCGGAAGGUUAAGGAAGCUGGUCAGCGCAAGCGAAGCUAGCGACUGAAGCCCCGGUGAACGGCGGCCGUAACUAUAACGGUCCUAAGGUAGCGAAAUUCCUUGUCGGGUAAGUUCCGACCCGCACGAAAGGCGUAACGAUCUGGGCGCUGUCUCGGAGAGAGGCUCGGCGAAAUAGAAUUGUCUGUGAAGAUGCGGACUACGUGCACCCGGACAGAAAGACCCUAUGAAGCUUUACUGUAGCUUGGUAUUGUGCCCGGGCUCUGAAUGCGCAGGAUAGGUGGGAGGCUUUGAUCCAUUGCUUGUGGGUGAUGGUGAGCCACUGGUGAGAUACCACUCUUUCAGAGCUAGGGUUCUAACGGUCACCCGUUAUCCGGGGACCGGACAGUAUCAGGUGGGCAGUUUGACUGGGGCGGUCGCCCCCUAAAAGGUAACGGAGGCGCGCAAAGGUUCCCUCAGGCUGGUUGGAAAUCAGCCGACGAGUGUAAAGGCAGAAGGGAGCUUGACUGUGAGACCUACAAGUCGAACAGGGACGAAAGUCGGCCUUAGUGAUCCGACGGUUCUGAGUGGAAGGGCCGUCGCUCAACGGAUAAAAGUUACUCUAGGAUAACAGGCUGAUCUCCCCCAAGAGUUCACAUCGACGGGGAGGUUUGGCACCUCGAUGUCGGCUCAUCGCAACCUGGGGCUGAAGUCGGUCCCAAGGGUUGGGCUGUUCGCCCAUUAAAGCGGUACGCGAGCUGGGUUCAGAACGUCGUGAGACAGUUCGGUCCAUAUCCGGUGCACGCGCAGGAACAUUGAGAGGAUUUCUCCCUAGUACGAGAGGACCGGGAGGAACGCACCUCUGGUGUACCAGUUAUCGUGCCAACGGUAAACGCUGGGUAGCCAUGUGCGGAGCGGAUAACCGCUGAAAGCAUCUAAGUGGGAAGCCCACCUCAAGAUGAGUGUUCCCAUGGCAUAAGCCAGUAAGGUCACGGGAAGAACACCCGUUGGUAGGCUCUACGUGGAAGCGUGGUAACACGUGAAGCGGAGGAGUACUAAUAGACC